ensembl:snRNA U2 U2 spliceosomal RNA
UUAGCUUCUCGGCCUUUUGGCUAAGAUCAAGUGUAGUAUCUGUUCUUAUCAGUUUAAUAUCUGAUACAUCCUCUAUCCAAGGACAAUAUAUUAAAUAGAUUUUUGUAACAGGGAGAUGGAACAGGAGCUUGCUCCUUCCACUCCACGCAUCGACCUGGUAUUGCAGUACUUCUGGGCAAAGGAGAAAUUUAC